AAAGACUAGUAUUUAUAGGGCUGCUAACCACUAAAAAAAUGUUUUCAUUUAGUCUUUU
rnacentral:tRNA from 1 species